AUCCAGUUGACGAGUCCCAAAUAGGACUUGACGUGCGUCAAACUGUAU
rfam:Schistosoma rodhaini strain Burundi genome assembly, scaffold: SROB_scaffold0001020